rnacentral:rRNA from 1 species
GUGUCAGCAGCCGCGGUAAAACGUAGGAGGCGAGCGUUAUCCGGAUUUACUGGGUGUAAAGCGCGAGCAGGCGGCCUGGUAAGUGGUGUGUGAAAGCGCUCUGGCUCAACCGGGCGAGGACAUGCCAGACUGCCGGGCUGGAGGUAGGUAGAGGCGAGUGGAAUUCCGGGUGUAGUGGUGAAAUGCGUAGAGAUCCGGAGGAACACCAGUGGCGAAGGCGACUCGCUGGGCCUGACCUGACGCUCAGACGCGAAAGCAUGGGGAGCGAACGGGAUUAGAUACCCUUGUAGUCC